CGCACGGGUGAGUAACACGUAUGCAACCUGCCUUCAACAAGGGCAUAACCCGUUGAAAGACGGACUAAUUCCCUAUGACACAGGGGUCCCGCAUGGGGAUAUUUGUUAAAGAUAUUAUCGGUUGAAGAUGGGCAUGCGUUCCAUUAGCUUGUUGGCGGGGUAACGGCCCACCAAGGCAACGAUGGAUAGGGGAACUGAGAGGUUUAUCCCCCACACUGGUACUGAGACACGGACCAGACUCCUACGGGAGGCAGCAGUGAGGAAUAUUGGUCAAUGGACGCAGGUCUGAACCAGCCACGUCGCGUGAAGGAAGACGGCCCUACGGGUUGUAAACUUCUUUUAUACGGGAAUAAAGUGCCCCACGCGUGGGGUUUUGCAAGUACCGUACGAAUAAGGAUCGGCUAACUCCGUGCCAGCAGCCGCGGUAAUACGGAGGAUCCGAGCGUUAUCCGGAUUUAUUGGGUUUAAAGGGUGCUCAGACGGGGGAUUAAGUCGGCGGUGAAAUUUUGCAGCUCAACUGUAAAAGUGCCUUCGAAACUGGUUUCCUUGAGUGCGGAUGAGGUAGGCGGAAUUUGUGGUGUAGCGGUGAAAUGCAUAGAUAUCACGAGGAACUCCGAUUGCGCAGGCAGCUUACCAAGCCGUAACUGACGCUCAAGCACGAAGGCGUGGGGAUCAAACAGGAUUAGAUACCCUGGUAGUCCACGCAGUAAACGAUGAUUACUGGCUGUUUGCGAUAUAAUGUAAGCGGCUGAGCGAAAGCGUUAAGUAAUCCACCUGGGGAGUACGUUCGCAAGAAUGAAACUCAAAGGAAUUGACGGGGGCCCGCACAAGCGGAGGAACAUGUGGUUUAAUUCGAUGAUACGCGAGGAACCUUACCCGGGCUUGAAAUGCAUCUGGCGC
rnacentral:rRNA from 1 species